AUUGAACGCUGGCGGCAUGCCUUACACAUGCAAGUCGAACGGUAACGGGUCCUUCGGGAUGCCGACGAGUGGCGAACGGGUGAGUAAUAUAUCGGAACGUGCCCAGUAGUGGGGGAUAACUGCUCGAAAGAGCAGCUAAUACCGCAUACGACCUGAGGGUGAAAGGGGGGGAUCGCAAGACCUCUCGCUAUUGGAGCGGUCGAUAUCAGAUUAGCUAGUUGGUGGGGUAAGGGCAGACUAAGGCAACGACCUGUAGUUGGUCUGAGAGGACGACCAGCCACACUGGGACUGAGAAACGGCCCAGACUCCUACGGGAGGCAGCAGUGGGGAAUUUUGGACAAUGGGCGCAAGCCUGAUCCAGCAAUGCCGCGUGCAGGAAGAAGGCCUUCGGGUUGUAAACUGCUUUUGUCAGGGAAGAAAUCUUCUGGGCUAAUACCCCGGGAGGAUGACGGUACCUGAAGAAUAAGCACCGGCUAACUACGUGCCAGCCGCCGCCGUAA
rnacentral:rRNA from 1 species